rnacentral:rRNA from 1 species
AUACGUAGGCACCAAGCGUUGUUCGGAAUUACUGGGCGUAAAGCGCGUGUAGGCGGUUAUUUAAGUCUGAUGUGAAAGCCCGGAGCUUAACUCCGGAAGUGCAUUGGAUACUGGAUAACUAGAGGACGAGAGAGGGAAGUGGAAUUCCUGGUGUAGGGGUGAAAUCCGUAGAUAUCAGGAGGAACAUCAGAAGCGAAGGCGGCUUCCUGGCUCGUAUCUGACGCUGAGACGCGAAAGCGUGGGUAGCAAACAGGAUUAGAUACCCCGGUAGUCC